GGGGAUUUGGCUCAGUGGUAGAGCGCUUGCCUAGCAAGUGCAAGGCCCUGGGUUCGGUCCCCAGCUCCCCCC
rnacentral:tRNA from 1 species